AAAGGCAUCGUGUGGACACACCUUAAUAUAGAUACCAAAAUGUUAUCUGUACUGAGAUACAAUUAUAUGUAGUUAGCAUUCUCUUCAUUCUGGGGGAAGUUCCGCUCAUAAAUAGAUGAAAUUAUCAAUAACUGCGACACGAACUGCAAAGUAACAAUUUGUUCGUCGUCGUUGCCAUGGUAACGCGUAACGUCAAUAUAGAUAGAGUGACAUACAGUAUUGGGUGUUUUUAUUAUGUUGUGUGAGAUCGUUGAAUUCUUACGAGAACACCUGUGCGUGAUACUGAUGAAAGUGAUGCGGAUGAAACAUGAAUAUAAUUUGGUAACAUUUUAUCUCAGAUCUAAACCGAAAAUCGUUUUAUAAGGUAAGAUACUUUAACUCGAAAUGACAGACAACGAAAACCCGAAUGUAUUUUUCAGCCGUAUUAAGGAGGACAAAUACCUGCUUGUGUGUUUCCAGUUCCAGAGUGAGUCACGUAAGAUAGACGAUUAUUGCAGUGUUGUUGCAAAAUUGACUGCAACCGCCGAUUAUUUGUUGAAUAAAAUUGUCAUUUGUAUCACCAACAAAGUAAAGGAGUUAAAAGACGCAGGAGGCGCACUAGGAGAUGUAGACGUUGAAUCCAUAUCUGCUAAAUUCUAUAGUAACGAUUGUCCAGUAUCCGCUGAUUGUUUAUGUAUGGACUUGCCGUUUUGGGUGGGCGACGAAAUGCAUUUGCGUAUUGGCAGUGUUCGAUAUAAUAUCGUGUUGAAUGGCCCAUGCGUAGAUGAAAUAAUCCUUCCAAGAGUCAUAAUAGUUGGUUUUCCGAUUUCCCCAUUUACUUUUAAGACUUCAUAUACGAAUGUGGGAGAUUGCGAGUUUCUGUGGUACAGGAAAAAACAGGGUGACUUCGAAUUAAUAGGAAAUGGUUAUUCCUAUACACCUACGACCGAAGAUGUUGGUUGUAUACUGAAGCUCAUCUGUAUUCCUGGAAACGGCGAUGUGAAAGGACCAAAGGUGGAAACAGUGUCGAAGAAAUGUGUGAAAGAAGGUCCAAAAAAGUUUCCAUUCGAAGACCGUCAUAUAUUCACACAAACAGGAGCAGCUCCUGGAAGUUUCAGAAUAAUGACCUAUAACAUACUGGCUGACUUCUGUGCUGGUACACCUAAGCUUCGUAAAGAACGAUUUCCAUAUUGUCCUCCUCAUGCUCUGAACAUAAACUACAGGAAACAGUUAUUACAAAAGGAAAUUAUAGGUUACAAUGUUGACAUCAUGUGUCUGCAGGAAGUUGACAAAAGUGUGUAUCAAGAUCAUUUGCUUCCGCUUCUUUCAACCAGAUACAAUGGAACUUUCAAAGUUAAAGGAACCAAGAUAACAGAAGGCUUGGCAUGUUUUUAUGACAAAUCUAAAUUUCGGUUGAAGGAGCAGCAUGGAAUUACACUUGCUCAUGAAUUACAAAUUAAUCCACGGUUACGUAACUUGUGGACUCUCAUGAAACCAGAAGUUGAAAAAAUACCUCGUUUUUUGAAAGCAGCAACUUCGUUACAGAUAGCUGUGUUGGUAUCUCUUGAAGAGGAGGAUAAUUGUGUGAUAAUUGCUAACACACAUUUACGCUCCUGGCCGGAACCUGAUUAUUUUCGUGCUCUGCAAGCUUCUGUUGCUCUUGCAUAUCUCCAGUCUGUUGUGGGAGAUAUUUCAAAGAAGAUGCCAGAAAAGAAAAUUGCUACAAUUUUGUGUGGUGAUUUCAACAGCACACCUGACAGCUGUGUGUAUGAACUGAUGGUUAACCAGUCUAUAGCGGAAAAUCAUCCUUGCUGGUCAGAAGAUUGUGCCUUUACCUCAUGAAGAAGAAGUCAAGGAACAUGAAGCAAUACCAAGUGUAGUUUUUCCAUCUGAUCAUUUAGCAUUAAUAGCUGAUAUCUGCUGGAUUUGAAAUGUUCUUUAUCAUGUUUACACUGAUGGUAGUUCCACCUUCAGAAUUUGGAUCCAAAGACUGAUCAACAACAAUAAAGCUCACUUGUUGUACCUGUAUCAACAAAACCAAAGGAACACUCGGUAUUAAGACAAUUUUUGCAAUUUAAAAAAUAAUAAUCAUAUGUUGUUCUUACUAUGUAUUUUUGUUGCAAAUGGAAAUUUAUUUUAUUUUAUAUUAUUUUUAAGAUAUAAUGUGUAGUGCUUUCCUUGUACUAGAGAAUCAUAUUAACAGGCAGGUACCAAAUGCCUGGCUGGUAUGAUACUGAGGUAGAUGAAUGUUAGAUUAGAAAGGUUGUUCACAUUGUUUUGAUAAAGAAAAGUAUCUGCCAUAAAUACUAGCAUUCCCUAAAGAUACGCAACAGACACAAACAUGAACAAAAUGUGAAACAAACAGAAGUUUCAUCUGACAAAGAAUUGGAGAGAACAGUUCUGUUCAAGAGGAUGAAAAGUAACCCAGUAUAAGAGAGAAAUUUAUCCUUAAUUUACGAUUUUGGGUAUUACUAACAUUUAAUAUUUGAUAUUUCCUUUGUCGUGGAAAGGUUCACACUCACUGUAAAGAUAGUGAUUUUAUACCAUUGUCUUUCCUGCUGGAUGCAGAAAUAUUUGCAAAAACUAACAAUUUAAUCACAUUUCGGUCAUUUGUGUCUGCUGUACACCAGGUUUUUAAAACCUUUACUACAUUGUUCAGAUGGCAUGUAAUUUUUAAACUGAGUAAUAAUUGGACUGUUUUAGUUCUGUUUACUUUUUUAUCGGCUCCAUUUUUAUCUCAUAACAACUUUAAAAUUGUGUAUUUGUCUAAAUGUUUUUAUGACUGUAUAUUACAUAAAAUACUUUGAAAUUACAUUCAUACAUACAACUGGCACUCUACAAUUCCCAGUGUAAAACCAUGGUGUCUAAAGUCAGACCAAACAAGCUGUAUUUUAAAUAAAUUUUAUUUCAUUCAGUA
rnacentral:misc_RNA from 1 species